rnacentral:rRNA from 1 species
GACGAACGCUGGCGGCGUGCUUAACACAUGCAAGUCGAACGAAGUGGCGAACGGGUGAGUAACGCGUAAUCAACCUGCCCUUCAGAGGGGGAUAACAGUUGGAAACGACUGCUAAUACCGCAUACUGAAGGAGGGGAUUGCGUCUGAUUAGCUAGUUGGAGGGGUAACGGCCCACCAAGGCGAUGAUCAGUAGCCUGGCUGGCAAGAUGGACGGCCACAUUGGGACUGGGACACGGGCCAGACUCCUACGGGAAGCAGCAGUGGGGAAUCUUCCGCAAUGGACGGAAGUCUGACGGAACAACGCCGCGUUGGUGGUGACAGCCUUCGGGUUGUAAAACUCUGUUAAUCGGGGCGCGGUACCGGAAUAGAAAGCCACGGCUAACUACGUGCCAGCAGCCGCGGUAAUUC